rnacentral:rRNA from 1 species
AGUGAACGCUGGCGGUAGGCCUAACACAUGCAAGUCGAACGGCAGCACAGUAAGAGCUUGCUCUUACGGGUGGCGAGUGGCGGACGGGUGAGGAAUACAUCGGAAUCUACUUUUUCGUGGGGGAUAACGUAGGGAAACUUACGCUAAUACCGCAUACGACCUACGGGUGAAAGCAGGGGAUCUUCGGACCUUGCGCGAUUGAAUGAGCCGAUGUCGGAGUAGCUAGUUGGCGGGGUAAAGGCCCACCAAGGCGACGAUCCGUAGCUGGUCUGAGAGGAUGAUCAGCCACACUGGAACGGAGACACGGUCCAGGCUCCUACGGGAGGCAGCAGUGGGGAAUAUUGGACAAUGGGCGCAAGCCUGAUCCAGCCAUACCGCGUGGGUGAAGAAGGCCUUCGGGUUGUAAAGCCCUUUUGUUGGGAAAGAAAAGCAGCAGGUUAAUACCCCGCUGUUCUGACGGUACCCAAAGAAUAAGCACCGGCUAACUUCGUG